AUCGCUUCUCGGCCUUUUGGCUAAGAUCAAGUGUAGUAUCUGUUCUUAUCAGUUUAAUAUCUGAUACGCCCCGAUUCGGGGCAACGAUAAACCCAUUUUAGAACAGGGAGCUGAAUAAAGGGGCUCGCCUCCGUUCGCUCCACGCAUCGACCGGUAUUGCAGCGCCCGGGAACGGUGCCCCUUUG
ensembl:snRNA U2 U2 spliceosomal RNA